UGUAGGUCUAGAUAUGUUACAUUCAAAUUGAUUGGUGGGUGUAGGUCUAAUAUGUUACGUGUAAACUGAUUGGUGGGUGUAGGUCUAAUAUGUUACGUGUAAACUGAUUGGUGGGUGUAGGUCUAAUAUAUUACGUGUAAACUGAUUGGUGGGUGUAGGUCUAGAUAUGUUACAUUCAAAUUGAUUGGUGGGUGUAGGUCUAAUAUGUUACGUGUAAAUUGAUUGGUGGGUGUAGGUCUAAUAUGUUACGUGUAAACUGAUUGGUGGGUGUAGGUCUAAUAUGUUACAUUCAAAUUGAUUGGUGGGUGUAGGUCUAGAUAUGUUACGUGUAAACUGAUUGGUGGGUGUAGGUCUAGAUAUGUUACAUUCAAAUUGAUUGGUGGGUGUAGGUCUAAUAUGUUACGUGUAAACUGAUUGGUGGGUGUAGGUCUAAUAUGUUACGUGUAAACUGAUUGGUGGGUGUAGGUCUAAUAUGUUACGUGUAAAGUGAUUGGUGGGUAUAGGUCUAUUUGUAAACUGAUUGGUGGGUAUAUGUCUAGAUAUGUUACUUGUAAAUUGAUUGGUAGAUAUCUAAAUCUUUUAACUGCAAAGUGAUUGGUAGAGAUGUAGCUCUAUUACUUGCAAAAUGAUUGGUAGAGAUGUAGCUCUAUUACAUGCAAAAUGAUUGGUAGAGAUGUAGCUCUAUUACUUGCAAAGUGAUUGGUAGAGAUCCUCCCCAUUACAAGCUCCUCAAUUUGUUUGCUAAAAUCGGAAAGCUUGAUAGCGAUAAACUGGGGAAAAACUAUUCACUGCUGUUGAACUAUUGAUCUUGCAUGCGUCGCACAAUCCAAUCAUUAGCUACAAUCAUAAAUUAAGUUUAAUGUUCCACUUCAAACACAAUUUCUUUAGAUUUUAGUUUAGGUCUGGGCAUUCAGUUCGAUAUUGCGUGUUCAAUUAUGUCUCGGUGCUAAGCAGAGAAUAGAUCAAAGAGUUUUAAAAUAGAAGUGUUGCGAAACACCGUCUAACAGGA